UCAAUGGUUUGCUGCAGAAAUGUUUCCAUUUCACAAACUGUUAAUUAUCUCAGAUGAGCCAAAUCCUUCUGGAAAGUCAAAGAGUGUCUAGAAUAGCAAUGCUUAAUAGAAUUGAAGCAAGACUGCAGAAAUGAAGAAACUCCGUGCUAUGCAUAGACAACUGGGCAGUCUGUGUCCUUCUGGCUCUGUUUCUCCCACAGGCAUCUUUUCCUACAGCUCUUAAUUCCAUGAGAAUGAAAUAUUUUGCCAAAGAUAAAGAAGAAUAGCUAUGGCUCAGUUAUCUGAUGAAUUGUUUGCCGAAGAUAUGGAGCAAAGACUUUUCAACAAUUUUAAUUUUGAUUCCUGAGCUUUGGCCCAAAUUAGCUAUGUGUAACUGACGUCCCUUUUACAUUUCCGAGAAUUUUUAAGUACCACUACUUUAGAUAUACUACAGGUUUAUAGUAGCCACUGAAUGAUGAUCUAUGAAGUUACUCUACAGAAACAGAACUACACCAGAGUUUGAACAGCUACUUUUAAAACUUGCUAGCUAAACUUGCAAGUUAACGAUAACCCAAGAAUUUUGCUACCAUUAUUGUUACACUUUUUUGAACAGGAAUAAUUCAUCUUUGUUUCUCAAAAGUAGCCAAAAUAGUACCUUUAACUACUUUUCAUUCAGCAAUAUGAGGCAUAACACUAUAUGAUGUCAUAUCCCCUCCCCACAUUAAGUGAUGCCACACUAUAUAAUCAUAAAAGUUACAGUUGCACUUAAAAAGAAGGGAAAUUAUUUCUUACUACAUUUUCAUAAUACUCCUUUGUUUUGGCAGGAAAAUUAAUUAACUGCAAAUGGCUAAUGAUAUCUUGAUGAAAGUAGGAUAGGAAUUAGCACUUCAAGGAAAAUCGAAUUAUGUAUGCCAUUCCAUAUAGAAAGCAGUACUGCUAAAGUGUGCAUAGUUACCAAAGACAAAAACUUUUCAAAAAUAUAAAAGAUUCAAAAUAUUGCUGCUACAUUUCUGCUCUUUGCCAUACCUGGCUAGAUAUCACCAUGCAAAACCUAGAUAUGCAAUGCAAUGACGUUUUUAAAAAGUUCUAAAAUCUAACUGCAAAUAUGUUUUUUUCUUAAACAGAACUAAAAUAUCACAAGUUAUACCCAUAGGUCACUGUUUCUCAACCUGUGCAUCCCCAGAUGUUUUGGGCUUCAAUUCUCAGAAAUCCUAACAGCUGGUAAACUGGCUGGAAUUUCUGGGACUUAUAGGCCAAAAACAUCUGGGGACCCCAGGUUGAGAACCACUGUCAUAGGUGAUACUAGUGCAUCCAUAUUCUAUACAAUAAUCACAACAGAAACAAUGGACUUUAUUGCAAAACAGCACUGAAACAGGGCUGUCAUUUAUUGCAUGAUGCUGCGAGCAUCCCACUUGCCGUCUGCCUCCUCCCUGCAAUGAAACAAUGGGAUUCACCUCCUCCCUGUACAGUAAUAUUUGGCUUUAAUAAAAUUAACACUUGCUGGAACUGCAAAAUGGCUGAAGAAGAAGAAGAACUCCUUUUUGAUGGCAAUUCUGUGGGGAGAUUUUAGUUAUUUAAAAUAAGCUUUCAAAGCAAUGCUCGUUUUUGUAUUAUUAUAAAGCAGGGAGUGACAGUACACAGGCAAAGAAGCUAAACUCCCCUUAGGUCUGACAUUUAUCUCCCUGUAGCAUCCCUACUCCACACCCCUAGUAUUUUUUCCAUUCAAGUCAACUUCCAGUAUCAAAAGUUGAUUAAGGCAAUAACCUACAGAUGGAACUAAUGGCAGGAGUGAUAGGAAACAGGCAUCACCUUUAUAUUACAUCCUAAUCUUUCACCUUCAGAAGGGAAGGCCCUUCUUGCCAUCACACCCUAAGUGAGGCAGAACAGAAUGCACACUCAGUAGUUAAUUGAAACAAAAGUCCUCACCAAUGGCCUCCAGUAUGAGUGUGUAAGAUGGCAUGGUUUCUCGAUCAAGGUUGACGACUGUCCUGACUACUCCAUCUCUAAAACCAACACUGAACUUUCCAUCCUGAUUCCCACCUAUAGAAAGAAAAGGAAGAGAAAAAAAGAAGAGGAGAAAAAGAUGAUUUCAACAAACAAUGGGCGGAAAAGAUAAGCACACUUAUACAAUACUUAUUUUAUUUAUUCACACACACUUCAUUUUGGCAUUUCAACCUGAGAUACUAAAAUUAAGCCACAUGAAGCAAAUUUAUAUUCCUGGUUCCUUCAUUUCUAGACAUAUCUAGUUGUAGGUGUAUAUCUGGCUGGAUUGGACAAUACUAUCUAUACAUACAUUAUGUUAUUUCACAGAUGUAGUGUUCGAAGUGAAUGAUUAUAAGAAUGAUCCUACCUUCUUGUGGCACCUGAAAAGUUUUAAAUAUUCAGCACUAGCUUUGUGUUAAUGAUGAUGGGAGUUGUGCAGCCUUCCACUUGUUACAGAAAUGCAACUCCCAGCACUUUUUUGCUGUUGUGUUUUCCUAGCUAGGGCUGACGGGAAUGACUAUUUGCCAGUAUCUGAAUGGCUGUACAUUUCUCACCCCAGGUCUAAGACUUAGUUGCAAAUAGAACAGACGUAAUCAGUUGAUGGAACAUACCAUAGAUAAUGACUACCUUUGAGUUCUCACUGAUUUGACUGAGACUAUUUAGGAAGCUAAAUUCAAAUUCUUUUUUUACAUUUUAGUUUCUCAUAAAACCAUAGUUUUUGAAUUUUCUAAAAAUAUUUGGCCUUUUUACAAUCUUAUUAUUUUCAUCUUUUUUGGCGUGGGAGCUCUGAAAGCUAAAUAGGUGUGAAACUGGUUUCAAUCUGUAGGAUGCAAAGACAUGCACAUCCUUAAUGGACUGGGUUCUGCCAGUACUGCCUAAAACCUUUACAAAAUAUAAAUUUAUUGAAGAGUUCAGAGUGGAUUGUGUGUGGGAACGAGUCUCAGAUUUUUACCUAAAUUCCAUUUUUAAAUACAUGCUGAACAGAAAAUAUUCAGGUUCCAAAGACCAAAUGAAGACCCUCCCCCCACCCCAAAAAAUGCAUCUCUGCCAGAGUUGCUUUAUUAUGCAAAUGAUAAAAUUAAACUCUAAUUGCUCUGUAGAUUUUUCAUGUUGUGAACUAAUAUAGCUUCCUUUUAUCCAUAUUAAGUAUAUUCACUCUUGGAGAAGGCUACUAUCAGGAUAUUUAUUAUUGGUAAAACUGACAAAGCCACAUGUGAGUAUUCCUUGUACAAAACAACCCCUAUGAAAUUCAACAGGCAAUUUGAAGGCUCUUUUUCUCUGUUUCUGUUUCUGUUUUGCUCUCUCUCCCACACACACACACAAACACACACACACCGAGAUACACAAGAUGCAUGGUGUCUCUGCAGACUCUGGGCAGCAGAGGGCGAGAAUGGACAAUUUUUGGAGCCUUUGCAAAUAAUGUAUGUUACACACCGGAUGGCUAGUCCAUGUAGACACUAACCCAUUUUAAAGUAGAAACCAGCAAAUAAAAUGUAUUUAUUUAGCAUAAGAUCCAGCCAAAGUUGUAGGCAGAAAAUCAGAUUUUGAGAAGCCACUCUUAUUACCCUAAUUCAGGCAAACUUUGUUUAGGGAGACCCUGUGAGGAAAUAAAGAGUUGACUAUUUUAGAGUAAAAUGUGUACAUUAGAAUGCUGCAUGCAACAAACAAUGACAUGUAUGGUGUUCUGUGCACCAUGACACCAUGGGCAAUUGCUCAAAGAUGUUGAGCAGGGUGGGGAAAAUAUGGUCCAUGGGUGACAUGCAGUUUUUUCAGGUUUCCCUAAAACUCACAAAUGCUCUUUUUUAACCCCCUCCCCCUUCACACCCAACAUUUCCUAGAAUAUAGGUGAGGAAAGAGAAGCCUGCAAGUGUUAUUUUUGUGGUAAUCAGGAUUUAAAAAUCCAUAUUAAAAAUGCCAACUUUACCCCCUCCCUGAAAGGUUUCCAAAUUAUUUCGUUUCAAAAGCCCUCCAAAUGCCCCAAAUGAUCUUUGUGGUUGUAGAGGGCAUUUCCACAUGUUUGAUGCCCUCCAGUGCCUCCUGUGUUUGAAAACAAAAUAUGGUGCUUUUUAAAAAAAAAGAAAGAAAUAAGGUAAAGGUAAAGGUUUCCCCUGACGUUAAGUCCAGUUGUGACCGACUCUGGGGUUGGUGCUCAUCUCCAUUUCUAAGCCGAAGAGCCGGCGUUGUCCGUAGACACCUCCAAGGUCAUGUGACCGGCAUGACUGCAUGGAGCGCUGUUACCUUCCUGCCGGAGUGGUACCUAUUUAUCUACUCACAUUUGCAUGUUUUUGAACUGCUAGGUUGGCAGGAGAAGAAAUAAAUACUUUUCUCAAAUUGUCUCAAAAAUGCUAAAGGCCCAGAAAGCACUUUCCAAAUGCCGCAGUGUUCCAUAGAAUGUGUUUGGGGAGGAGGAAGAUAAUAUUAUUUGUGGAAAAAGGCACAGUUUUCAAAGGUAUCUUGAAGGGCUAAUGAAGGGCCUGCUCUCCCAGUUGCCCACUCCUGCCACCCUUCCCCUUAAAACAUUUGAGAUGAUCCAAAACACAGAGAAGUUCCAUGGAGGAUCAGUGUCACCAUCCAGUCCUCUACAGUUGCUUACCACUGAUAUAGAAAGUUUUAGAAAGAGCCUUGUUUAAUAAGGCUUAUCUCAGAUCUCUAUCAUCAUAUUUCUGGACCUGUUUUGGAAGCACUGCCCAAUAUACUAAGUCAUCCUUUUAUGCUGCAAACAUCACAUGCAAGCUAUACAACCAAAGUAAAUGAAGACACAAUCCUGAAACAUCUACUAAAACAGUAGCUCUUUAUAAAGGAAUGCCUGUUUUCAUGCCUUUGUCUACAUCAGAAUACAAUGUACCUGGCAGUGGCUACACAUCACCAAACACUGCAAAUGAGUUCAGCCACAAUGCCUUUCUCAAACUGUCAUAUCCACAUUCACCAGACAUAAGGCAGCUGAUGACUCUUUCAGUCUGAUGAGGCAUAGAUAAUUCUCAGGAGCAAACAACCCAAAACAGUUCUGCUAUCAUUUGCAAAGCAUCAUAGGAAAGCAUAUGCAAAUCCCCAUGCAAAUUAGCCUUGCAAACCUAACAACAGGAUGAAAAGCCCCUUUGGCUGUCACAUUUGCAUACAUUUUACCUAUACUCAGCAUCGCAGUGCCAAACCAUAUUGCUGGUAGGAAAGGGUGGAUGGGACGUCUUGUUCACAGACCAUGAAAGAAAUGCUACUUCAGAUGGAAAGAUAGAGAAAAGGAAUUGAGUUGGAGGAGGAAUUGGAACUGCUAUCACCCAUUGCCAGCAUGUAUGGAGGAGAAGAGAGAACAGAAGGCACCUCAUAAGAGAUGGAGAAGAAUUAGGUGAUGGCCACUUUGCAUGUUGUAAAAGGGAGGAAGAUGAUGGGGCACUGAGUCUUGAAUCAACCAGGAUUUUAUACAGUGGUUAUAGGAUUUGAUACCAUUAGAGUGUCACCCACCUCAGCCUUUGGGAUGGGGCUAGCUAUACAUUUGGGGGGGGGGGGGGGAACAAAAGAAGAAAAACAGAGUGCUCUCCACUACCUGUAAGCUAAGUAUCUUAUAAUUCCAAGGUGUGUCAACAGCUACAUAACCUGUUAGAAAGUGUUGGUACCUGUAAUGAAAUAGCUGAGCUCAGCAUUGAGACCUGUAUCCGCAUCAGUACAAUUCAAACGAACCACUUUAAAAUCACGAGGUAUAUUUUCUGGAAGCGACACGUUGUAGACGACUGGGAAGAAGGUGGGGUUCUCAUCAUUCACAUCUAAAACUACAAGAGAGAAUAUGAUCAAGGCUGACUCUGGGUUAUGCCCACAAGCUUUACCAAGCAUUCUUAAAAAGCAGGUUUGACACCACUGCUGGUUUUCAAUAUUCAGUUUUAACAUUUGGAUUACCAUAGGGCGUCAACUAGGGAACAGAUUUUUUCCAGACUGGCUGUCUUGUAAAGAAAGCCUAUUCAGGAAAGCAGCAGAGUGGGGAAUACAGUUAAGUUGGCAAAAGGUUAAAAGAUGUGGGAAGACCUGCACAUCCAUUUUUUAAAAUACAUAACAACCCCUUAUUCCUAUAUAUUUGAAGCAAAAGGAUAUCCCCUUCCACCAGCACAUGGCAAAAAUGGAAAUAACAGAACAGAAUCCCUUUCCUAGAUGGGCAGCAGACUGCAUUUUUCUAGAAAAUUUCUGAAAUCAAGCACGUGCUAAGGUACAAUAUGUAAACACACCAGGAUGGAGAUAUCAACAUAUGCUAACAAUAAUCACAGUGAUUCUAAUGAUACAAUUAAUACACAAGCAUUCAAAGCAUUAUCAGGUGAGCAAAGCCAAUAGCUUCUAAUGAAAAAUUCUUACACUUUGACAGUAGCAUGACAGUUGCAGAAGAACUUCUUCCUAAGUGGCUGGCUCCGUUGACAUUGCCACAUAAUAAAGUUUCCAAACUGAAUUAUAUAACAGUGUAGUGGAGCUGCUGAAUGAUAAAUGUAUAAGUAUUGGCAGACAAAGCCUUUUCUAUUUAAACAAGCCUCACCAGAAUAGAGGGAUAUGCAAUUGGAUGUGAUGUUUUCAGUAUGCAGAAUGCAUCUCAACUGUUUUGAGGGUUUUACAGAUAAGGUCUUAAAAGUUAUGUAUGGUGUAAUGUUUUAUAAAUAUUUGUAUUCCACAUUGUUUUGGGCACUAUCUUUUAAUUUAUAUCAUUAGCUACCUUUACGUUUUAGGAAGAAAUGGGAUAUAAACCAGUCAACCUAAAAAUACAUAAAUAUCAGGCCAUUUGUAAUGCCGCAACUCAGAGAUGGUGUGGCAAAUUAUUUCCUCAGCCUAUCAGAGAUGCCACCAUGUCAAUGUUCCUGAAUAUGGUUAUUGUGGUGGUGGUGGAGUCCCAUAAUUUAACUUUACAGAAAUAUACAUAUAGAACACCCAGCUUAUUUUCUAGCUGAUUGGCACCACAAAUAGUCUUCAAAUAGUUGAAAAAUAAGAACACUACCAGCCUGAUAUCUUUCAAAGUUUUUUGUUGUUAUUGUUGUUACUUUUUGUCAUCAUCACAGCACUAUAUGAUAUGCACCCCAAACUAAUAGAUAUUUGGAAGAUAUUAGAAAGUCUCUGCACGCACUGUUGGUUUGACAGGGGCUGGUCAACUGGAUUAUCAGAGAAACUGACAUAUAAAUUGAGGGCAGCAAAAGGGGAAUGUGAAAAAGACAAGUUGACUGCAGUGAGGCAUCUGUUCAUUUUAUUUGCAAACAAAGACUCAUUGCUGCACAACCCAUCUGUACAAAAUGUGAAAUUCUGGAAGAGUGAUUUUUAACUGUUGAACUUUCUUUUUCCCAUAGGCUUAAAUUUUGAUGGAUUCCCACACUGUGAAUUAACUUUUUCUUCUACAAUGUCUUGCAGAACUGUUCAUCGCACAAUGAUUUUCCCCCUUAAUGAUGUUGUGCUACAACCUGGAAUUGAACUGGAUUUAAUUGGCAUUGUUAUGAUUUAAUGUACCUCAGAUACUCAAUGAUAUGUAAAAGCAGACUUAUUGAGGCACAAAAACGAAGUAAAUAAAAACCUCUACCUUAA